AUUAAAGACUAUAUACGGCAGAUCGGAUGUUAGUGUUAGAUACGACAUCUUGGUCUGGCCGCUGCGAGACUACUAAGUCUUAGUAUCUAUGGUGUUGGGGAGAAAGAGACUCGGAAGGAGAAGAUUUACAGGUAUUGUUGUCUGGUCUGCUAAAGUUUUCUCUGCUAGGCUUUAAAGAGGAAGAGGUAUCUGAAAGUGAAAGCAUAGCUGUAGAAUGAUCUGGUUGUGUAUCAUUGUCAUUUACUACUAGUAAUUUCUACUCCUCCAUUCCACUGGAUAUCACUAUGAGUGGAUCUAACCUCUUGAGAAAUGCAACAAUAAUAAUAAUAAUAAUAAUAAUAAUAAUGUUAUUAAAGCAAUAAGACAAGCAAGCAACACGAGUAGUUCCAAGAAAGAGAGAGAGAGAGGAAGAAUGAUAAAGAGUAUAUUAUAAUCACAAUAUCAAGUCAUAAUAAUAAUUAUUAAUUAUUAUCAGUGGGUAUUAUUGUGUACUUUAUUAUCAGACAACGGUGCUUUGGGUGUUAGCAGCUGCCGAUAAUUCAAAAUUAAUCUUAGCUCCGCCCCCUCCUCCUCCCCCACUGUGAUUAGACCCAAAGGAAUGGAUAGAGUUACGAUCCUCACCACCAGAAGUUAGAUCAUCAGCACUAGCAGAUACCUUUAAAAUAAAAGAACAAUAAGGUCUAUCACUGCCUUUAUGAAUGUAGCAUCUUGUCAAUGGAUUUUCAAGGUGCUCCAAGA